rnacentral:rRNA from 1 species
AUUGAACGCUGGCGGCAUGCCUUACACAUGCGAGUCGAACGGUAACAGGUUAAGCUGACGAGUGGCGAACGGGUGAGUAAUGUAUCGGAACGUGCCCAGUCGUGGGGGAUAACUGCUCGAAAGAGCAGCUAAUACCGCAUACGACCUGAGGGUGAAAGCGGGGGAUCGCAAGACCUCGCGCGAUUGGAGCGGCCGAUAUCAGAUUAGGUAGUUGGUGAGGUAAAGGCUCACCAAGCCGACGAUCUGUAGCUGGUCUGAGAGGACGACCAGCCACACUGGGACUGAGACACGGCCCAGACUCCUACGGGAGGCAGCAGUGGGGAAUUUUGGACAAUGGGCGCAAGCCUGAUCCAGCCAUGCCGCGUGCGGGAAGAAGGCCUUCGGGUUGUAAACCGCUUUUGUCAGGGAAGAAAAGGUUCUGGCUAAUACCUGGGACUCAUGACGGUACCUGAAGAAUAAGCACCGGCUAACUACGUG